rnacentral:rRNA from 1 species
AUGGUAGUUGAAGGGGGCACUGGGACGUCAAAGGGCAAGGAAGUUGACGAGGCUACCUAUGGAGACUUUGCUCAUUGGGCCUCCACUGAUGAAGGUAAUCCGACAAAGGCAUCUCUUACUCCUAAUGAGAAUGCUUCAGAGUGCGUCCUAGACUCUGGAGCAUCUAAGCAUGUUGCGGGUAAUUCCUAUGUGUUUGAGUCUUACAAUAAGCAUCCUCCUACUCACAAGGGCACUAUACAAACUGCCGAUGGUACAAAUCAGCCUGUCGUAGGGGUUGGCACAGUCAAGUGCACUUCAAACAUCUCGUUAUCGUCAGUUUUACAUGUGCCAGCUUUUCUUGUCAAUUUGGUCUCUUUCAGUGCUCUCAUUGAUGAAGUAGACUGUCGUGUGAUCCUUGACAAGUUCGGAUGCUUGAUUCAGGUGCGACAGACGAGCCAGACGGUUGGGACUGGCACCAGGCGUAGGGGGCUUUGGUACAUGGACCAGGAGGUGCAGGAGGUGCAGCCGGACUUGGUGUGUGCUGUGACCACAGAGGACAAGGAGAAGCAGGCGAUGAUCCAUCAAUGUAGGAUGGGGCAUGUAUCUUUUGAUAAGAUGAGUAGAAUAUUUCCGGAUCUUAUGUGUGGAAUAGGCAAGGGCAAGUUGACAUGUGAUGCUUGC